AGAGUUUGAUCCUGGCUCAGGACGAACGCUGGCGGCGUGCCUAACACAUGCAAGUCGAGCGGAGAAAGUUCUUCGGAACUUUCUUAGCGGCGGACGGGUGAGUAACACGUGGGUAACCUGCCUUAUAGAGGGGGAUAGCCUUCCGAAAGGAAGAUUAAUACCGCAUAACAUUUUUGUUUCGCAUGAGAUGAAAAUCAAAGGAGCAAUCCGCUAUAAGAUGGACCCGCGGCGCAUUAGCUAGUUGGUGAGGUAAUGGCUCACCAAGGCGACGAUGCGUAGCCGACCUGAGAGGGUGAUCGGCCACAUUGGAACUGAGAUACGGUCCAGACUCCUACGGGAGGCAGCAGUGGGGAAUAUUGCACAAUGGGGGAAACCCUGAUGCAGCAACGCCGCGUGAGUGAUG
rnacentral:rRNA from 1 species